rnacentral:lncRNA from 1 species
GUCCCCUCGGGUGCUCCAGGUGAUGCCCCAGUUCACCUUCGCUUGCUUCUGCGGGCUGCAUGGCUUCUGCAAGAUGAAGAGGAAGAAGGAGGAACCCAGCGGGGAGCAGGAGACGGCGGUGUGAGCAGCAGGGACAGGAGUGGGACACCGGAGCUGCUGGGGGGCAUUGGCUGUCCCCUCUCCUGUCACCUCUGCAGGGAUCCCUGUGCUGCGGAGACAUCUGCCUGGCCAGGAGGGAGCUGAAACAUGGGAGUGCCCACACCAGGAGGAACCAGCCGGCGUUGCAGACAGUACUGGGGGGCUGCAGCCAUCCUGCCACAUGUGCUGAGCCCUCUGCACCCCAACAGCCGCUGUCAGAGAAGGAUUCGCCCCGAGCCCACUGCCCUGCCCUCACCCCAGCACUGCUCUGCGGACAGACCCUAAAGGGGUUUCCAAAAUCUAGGGCCAGACCUUGUCCUGCAUGGAGUAAUAGUGCUGGGGGGGCUGCCCCAGGGUGUUUUUCUCAAGCAAAUGCCUGGGACUGCAAGAAGCCAUUCUCCACAUCUCAGCCAUGCCUGGCCCCAUGGCUGCAGCACAGUGGAUCGUGUUGGGGACACCGAGUGCACCACCCAGCUCAUGCUGGGGACACGGCGGUGCUGGCACUCGUUCCCAUGCCACUGAGAGAUGCAGCUCAGCAGGAGCUGGUUCAUGGUUGGCACAAAGGCCAGCAGCCCCCAGCUCAGGCCACUGGGCGUUCUCCGCAGGGACAUUUCUGGCACAACCGUGUCCUCCAGAGCAGAAAUCCUUAAACUCUUCCACCUGCUGUUUCCCUUCUCUACAUGGAGAACCCAAUCACAGGGGGCUGAAAGCGAUGCCCACGGGUGCCAGGCAGGAGAUGCUCACUCCGAGGGCUGCUCCUGCUCCCACCGCCUUCACCUGGCACUGUGUGGCUGAGGUCCCAUGGGUCCCCGUUUCCCCUUCACCCUCUCUGUGCAUCCUUCCUACCUAUGGUUAAAGCCAUACAGGAGCUCCCCACAUUCUGUGCCUUUUGGGGGGCGUCCCGCAGAUGUCCCCCCCCCAGCCAGCCCCUGGUGAGGGUCCCCCAUGGAUCUGGGGACAUUGCUGGGGUCUCGGUGUCACGAUGCUGGGGCGGGCUGCAGCCUGCUUCCCUGGCCCCAAGUGCACCCAAAAGUCGAGAUCUCAUUUCAGGCACUGGAACUCUGGUGCUCCCAUGGCCAAGAAACCAGAAAAGCAGCAAGGACAGCCCACAGGGAAGGAUCCAUCACAGUUUGGCAGCCACGGAUGUGCAAGCUAACAGCUGCUCCGAGACUCUUUGUCACUCUGGAUGCACAGAGAGCGUCCCUGCAAAGGAGCUUGUGUAUGGAGGGGGUGCUAAGGGACGAGCUGGGAGCUCUGCUGGAAGCACUGCACUCAUGCCGUGCACCCACUGUACACAGUGCAUGCACACUGCACACACUGCACAUGCCAUCUAUGGCACGUGCACGCUGCACACACUGCAUGCGGUGCACACCCAGCACACGGUGCACGCACGCUGCACGCUCUGUGCACGCACUAUUCACACACUGCUCAUGCCGUGCACACCCGCAUGGUGCACACCACGGUUGCAUGCUGGCUGCGUGCAGCAGCCCUGUGCUUGCUCAGGAGCACGCCCCAGUUGCACACUGGCAGCUCUGUGCCUGCUCGGGCUGUCCCUGGAUCUGCAGUACUCCCAUCUCCAGUGA